rnacentral:rRNA from 1 species
GACGAACGCUGGCGGCGUGCUUAACACAUGCAAGUCGAACGGAAAGGCCCUGCUUGCAGGGUACUCGAGUGGCGAACGGGUGAGUAACACGUGGGUGAUCUGCCCUGCACUUCGGGAUAAGCCUGGGAAACUGGGUCUAAUACCGGAUAGGAGCCAUCUUUAGUGUGAUGGUUGGAAAGUUUUUUUCGGUGUAGGAUGAGCUCGCGGCCUAUCAGCUUGUUGGUGGGGUAAUGGCCUACCAAGGCGGCGACGGGUAGCCGGCCUGAGAGGGUGGACGGCCACAUUGGGACUGAGAUACGGCCCAGACUCCUACGGGAGGCAGCAGUGGGGAAUAUUGCACAAUGGGCGCAAGCCUGAUGCAGCGACGCCGCGUGGGGGAUGACGGCCUUCGGGUUGUAAACUCCUUUCGCUAGGGACGAAGCUUUUUGUGACGGUACCUAGAUAAGAAGCACCGGCUAACUACGUG